UUUUUUUUUUUAGACAUCUCAUUGCCAAAUCCUGGAUAUAAAUAUGGCUGCUUAAGGGAAUUGCCUAUCUUGAUUAAGCAUGCAGUUCUCAAAGAUGUUUCAACAAUUCUAAGACAUUAAAAACAGUGGGUAAAAUAAUUCACAACAAAAUAAAAAGAUAAAUGGAAAAACGUACAGUAUUCAAAGAAUGGAAAAAUGUAAAAGAUAAACAUUUCUAGAUAAAUUAUUAAAGAAAAAGAAACGCUGGUUCUUUAGAUUCCAAAUGGUCAAAUGACUUAGCAUGAAAGUUUAGUACAAACCUAUCUCAUUCUUCAAAGUUAUUAAUCUCUUCAAAUAAGAUCAAUAGAAGACUGCCAAAGCAAACAAUCUAGAAAUAUAUAUAUAUUUUUUUUUUUUCCUCAGUUUUUAGGGCCACAGAUGCAGCAUAUAGAAGUUCCAGGAGAGGGUUAAAUCGGAGCUGCAGCUGCUGGCCUAUGCUACAGCCACAGCAAUGCAGAAUCCAAGCUGCAUAUGCAACCUACAACACAGCUGAUGGCAACACCGAUCCUUAACCCCUGAGCCAGGCCAGGGAUCAAACCCUCAUCCUUAUGGAUACUAGCCAGAUUCGUUUCCGCUAAGCCACAAUGGGAACUCCUACAAAAACUAUACUUUUAAUCUCCUGAAACUGUAUAUUCUGCUAAAAUAACUAUGUAUAUGCAUAAACCUUAUUUAUGAUUUUUCUCACUUAAAAUUUUCUUAAGUUUUUGGCAUCUACCACCACCUAUGAUAGAAAAAACUGAACAAGCAAUAAAAAAAAUUAGUGGACUCACUGCAUUGCUGGUAGGAAUGUAAAAUGGUACCACUCUUACAGAAAAGUUUGGUAGUUUCUUAUAAAAUUAAACAUUCAGUUACCAUACACCCAGCAGUCAUACUUCUUGGCAUUUAUCCUCAAGAAAGUAAAGUAAAAAUUUGUAUGUGAAAUGUUCAUAGCAGCAAUACUAACAAUACCCCAAACUGGAAACAAGGCAAAUGUCCCUCAAUAGGCAAAUGUUAAACUCUGUACAUCUGUACAAUGAAAUACUACCCAGCAAUAAAAUGGAAGGAACUAUUGAUAUUGAUACACUUAACAACUUGGACAGAUCUUAAGGGCAUUAUGCUUAGCGAAUGAAAAAAAGCCAUUCUCAAAAGACAUGGGUAGAAGUAGGUUCCCAAAAUAAAAAUGCUUUGAAUUUAUCUGUAAAACAUUAACUGCCCUUGGACUUUCAAGUUUUAAUUCUGGCCCUGUCUUCAGUGAAAUUAUCUGCUAACUUCCCCCUCAGCAGUAGCAAGUAAGGCAAAAACAAGCAGUGAGGUACUUCUGUCUCUGGGUGAUCAAGAUGUCAUUAUAGGAAAGUCUAAAAAGAAGAGUGAGGCUACAAACUCAAGUCUCAGAACCUACAGCAACUCCAAUCUUAGCUGGCUAGAACAAAUCCAGCAAUAAGUAUCAAACAUACAAAGACUAUGUAUGGGGCCAAGAAAAGGUGUACUGAUAAUGGCUCUUAGCAAAAAAAAAAUAAAGUCAAAUGGACUAAACACGACUACCCUGUCUUGAUUCUAGACCUCAUCAACUGACUAAAAGGCAUACCUAUAGCUAAGUAACAACUUUUUGAGGGGAAAUGCUACCAUAUUAAAUGCACAUAAUGCCAAUUUUGCAUUAAGAUGCAAAAAAAAAAAAAUCUUUUAAAAAGCAUUCCUGGAGUUCCCGUCAUGGAGCAGUGGAAACGAAUCCAACUAGGAACCAUGAGAUUGUGGGUUCGAUCCUUGGCCUUGCUCAGUGCAUUGAGGAUCCAGCAUUGUUGUGAGCUGUGGUGUAGGUGGCAGAUGCAGCUCUGAUCUGGCAUUGCUGUGGCUCUGGUGUAGGCCAGCAGCUGUGGCUCUGACUGGACCCCUAGCCUGGGAGCAUCCAUAUGCCACAGGUGCGGCCCCUUAAAAAGCAAAAAAUAAAAAUAAAAAGCAUUCCUCUUAGAUUGAUAAAAUAGAGGAUCUAUGAAAUACCACUAACAUACCUAACAUUUGCAAAUUAGUUUCAUGGCAAAUUAGUUUUCUAACUAUGAGUUAGAAUGAAACACUACUCCUGGACCUUUACUUAUCCCAAAGAUAAAAUUUACAAUAACCUAUUGUUGAAAGCUAACAGAAGUAACCUUUUGCAGAGAUGUGGUAAGACUGCAAACGUGUGAAGUGCAAAUACUACAAGACUGAAAAGGUUUCGAAACACCAACCACAAGUAAUUUGUUAACUUUUAAUUUCCUUAUGUGUUACAAAAGUACCUACUCUCAUAAAGUUGUUGUGAAGAUUAAAGGUAAAACUUGAGUGGAGCCUGGGAUGCAGUAAGUACAGCAUAAGCAUUAGCUUUAAAAAAAAAAAAAGCUACAAGGAUAUAUUGUACAGCACAGGUAAUACAGCCAACAUAUUUUAUAAAUAUUAUAAUAUUACAGUUUAUUAAAACUAUAAAUGGAGCAUACUCUACAAAAAUUUUGUAUCACUAUGCUGUACACCUGCCUAACAUUAUAAAUCAACUAUAC
ensembl:lncRNA